ACUACUUACAGUUACUGAAAUAUUAAAAGAUCAUACUAUAGUCAUAUAUGAGUUGCAUUAUUAAUGCCUUAGGUAACAAGAUCAAUCAGGAGGUCCACAAAACAAUGUAAUUUCUCAGUAGUGAUGAAGGAAAACAGGGCUUUAAGAUACCUGCAAUACAACUGUAAUGUGAUAUGGAAAUAUCUGUAGAUAUUAUUGACACUACCAUGGUUUGUUGCCUACAUUCAUAAUUGAAGGAAAUAGUAAAUUUCAGUCAGAGGUUAGUGAAAAUAAAGUAUUUUCCCCAUCCAAAUUCCGAGCCCCCAGGUUAGGGGCCCCUCACCAAGUAACCAAAUUGGUAAUGAGGUCCUCACUGAGUUUUGCCAAAGCAGUUGCAGGCAAGUGGCAGAGGCAAAAACCAGAGCGAAAUGAUGAGAGAAAGGGAGGAGGGGAAAAGGAGGCCAUGAUUACAGGCUCCUCUUUCGAAGCGUUUUUGUGGCCAAAUAAAUGAAAAGGCUUGGAGUAGCUUGAAGGAGAAGAAAUAUCUAGGGGACAUAGAAAUAGAACAUGCCAUCUUCUUGUGACCCAAAAAGUAACGUCAGGAACGAGGCUAAAUCACUGUUGGAAGUAGUUCCUGCCUCGUGCACAGAGGGCAAUAGAUCAGGCCGGGGAGUUACCAACACUGGUUUUAGCAACGCAGGGAGAUGGCAAAGAUCUGCACAGCCUUGGAGUCAGAAUUGCGGGAAAGAAGAGACAAUGCCACAGGAUUCUUUUUCUCUGAAAAAUAACUCUCAUUGUUUAGAAUAGGACAGGUAAUGGCACCAGUCUGAGAUCUCCACUCUUCAUGCAGUGCUGACUGUAGAAAGGACCAUAAAAAGAAUUCUUCUAGUUGGUGGGGAAGACGGAAUGGGGAAACCUGCUCCAGACAUAGCCUUUCUUGUAUAGAUGAGAGAUGGACAAAGGGCAACAAAAGUUAUUUAGCCUAGUAUUGUUCUGGAUCAAGAUUGAGUACAAUCAACAGCUAGCUUUUGAUAUCUGAAGCAAGAGAACCUGAAAAAAAAUAAGGAGUGUGCAUAUAAGAGAUAUAAGAGAGAGAUUUUAAAAAAUGAGUAGCAAGACAGACCUAACUCAUUAAACACAGAACCAAACCGAAAUAAAAAUAGAAAAAGUUACGGCUUCUUAAUAACCAUUGUUUUCUAGCCAAGGACAUUUAAAAAAGGCUUCUAACAUCUGACAGGCUGUGCAGCAGGAGCCUUCUGAGGGUUUGGGGGAAAGUGGACAGAAGGAAAGCUGUGUAGAUAUGCAAAUACCCUAUUCAAAUCCAGGCUUCGUUUUCCUGCAACUGAGGGUAAUUAAGUGGUUAGAGAACCGCCUGUGAACCUCCUCUUCUCCUCAGAAACAAUCGAGGAUUUGUUGGCUAGUUGACUUCAUCCGGCCUAACCCAGACCAAGAUAAAUCCAAUUAAACAUCCACCGACACAAAAACCAGAGCUUGUGCGAUACUGGGAGCGACUCACAGAGAGCCUGGGGGUGGGGGGAGCUGGAAUUCUUGUGCAAUGCUUUAUACUCUGAGACGGGAACUCAUAAGAGGUCUUUGGGCUCUGGCAGAACCUAAAGGAACAAUUACGCCAUAAUUGAACAUUGAUAAUUGAACAUUGUUUAUGAUGUUCAAUGUUCACUGAUAAUUGAGCAUUGCUUAUUGCUUUUCUGUGCAAGGAGUUCACAGCCCUUUACAGAAGGGACCUCCACCAGCCUCACCACACCUCUGUGCUCUCCACCAGCCAGACUGCGCUAUCAGCCCACAUUCCAACUCCAGAGCCAGUGAGUAAGGGGAUUUGUUCAAGGUCACCCAGCAGAUGGAGGCCGAGCCUUGGGUAACACUAACUCCUAACCUUCCAUCUUAUCGUUCAUGGCACUGUUCAUCUCAACCUGUGGGUUCCAGGGAAAUCUCAUAAAAGCAGUAUUUUAUGAGUAUUCAAGGUCAUCCCUUGUGGGACCCACCUGGAAUUCUCAAGAGGAUCUCACACAGGGGUUAAGAAAGAAAGAUCGUAUUUUUCCAAACCUAACAGCUUGUGUUUCUAACACCCCACCUUCUAGCUGCACAGAAUAAACCAAGGCUGGAUUCCUGGAGACAAUGUGGACUGAAUGCCACGUAUAAGCCAGAGAGUUCUGUGCUCUGAAGGAAGAUGACACUCAGCUUUCGGGUAACCCCAGAUCUCAGGAAUCAAGUCUCCAGUGAAGCACAGGCAGAGAGAAUUGUGCCCCUCACACAUGUCAGGGUCUUUUGUACAUCUGGAUACUGAGGCUGUUAGCCUUGCAACCUGAGGGCCAUGAGGUCCAGCUCUCUCAUAGGCAGUAAAGACUCAUGGAGAGCUCAAGACAAGAGCCAUCAUUUGGUACAAGUUCAAGAGUGUGGAAGAUCACCUGCAAAGAUGACCACCAAUCAUCCUCUCAACGUCGUGCACAUGUGAGCGAGCAUGCCAUGCGAGAGACAGACUCGUUCCCCUCCACUUGCAUCUCGCUUUGACCAGUAGAACACAGUAGAGUCUCAUCGUGUGACUUACAGGUCUAGGUAAGAGGCCUUGCUAGUUCUCUUUUCUCUCUGAGAAACCAGCCACCAAGUAAAAAGCUUAGGCUAGAUUACUUACCAAAUGAUGACAGAAUGCCUGGAGACAGGUCACACGGAGGAGAACCAAGGUAUCCCACUGACAGCCAACACUCGACCCCAGACCAUGACAGACCCUCCCCCAGCCAACUCUCAGAUCGACAAACAAGUGGCUCCAGCUCACAGCAGGAGAAGCAGAGCCUCCUACCUGAUCACAGAAGUAUGAGAAGUAACAAAGCAUUGUUGUUUUAAGUCCCUAAGCUUGGGGAUGGCUUGUUACACAGCUUGUUACACUGAUACAAAAGAGAGUGUUACCCCCCAUGGUUCUCAGACACAGGACACAGGAUCCACCAUGUCAAUGCCUCCCUCCAGGAGACACCCAAGCCUCGACCACAAUCAGGGAAGAUGCCUACCUGUAUUUUCAGCUUCUGCUUGAAGAUGCUUACUUAGCCCUGGGUACCCAUCCUCUUUGAGCUAACUGCUUUAGGCUCUCCUUUGAGCUUGUUUUUAUUAUUAGUUUCUAUCUUGUAUAUUAACUUUAAAAGAGCAAAGAAGAAAUAACUUGCAGGGAAGAGCCAUGAAGAUAACCCAAGCCCGAACAGAGGAGCCUGGAUGGAUUUCCUCACCAUUAAUUGGCUCUGCCAAUUCACUAUAGUUAAAUUCCCAUUUUCCACUCCUAAGUGAAUUUCUUAUUACUAAACUCUGUAGUAAAAAUAAUAAUAGCUCACAUUUAUUGCAUUCUUAACAUGUGUAAGGCACUGUGCCAAGCGUUUCAGAAGUAUGGUUUCAUUUAAUUUUUUAAACAACUAAAUGAAGCACAUCCGAUUCAUUCAUUUAUCAAAUAUUAAUCAGCCGGGCACCGUUCCAGGUACUGAAGAUACAUAAAUAAACAACAUUGACAGAGACCCUGCUCUCGUGGCGCUUGCAUUCCAUGUUGGAGACAGGCAGGAAAUGCAUAGUGUGUAGGAAGGUGAGAAAUUCAAACGACAGAAGACAUACAGGAGAAUAAGAGCCUUCCAAAUCAGGUGACAUUUGAGCAGGGAGUGAGGGUGUCAGCCUUGGGGAUGGAUAUAUGGGAAGAACACUCCAGGCAAGUACCAUUUCCUGAGCCAGGAACACUCUUACUGUGUUCUAGGAGCAGCAAAGAGGUCCAAAUGGCUGGAUCAAGAAUGUUUAGUGGUGAGGCCAGACAGGUACCAAGGAGCCGGAUUAAGGAGGGCCCCCUAUGCCACGGUAAGGACUCUGGCUUUAUUCAGAAUGAGCUGGGAAGGCACGGGAGACUUUCCAUCUCACCUUUUUAAAAAAUUACUCUGGGCCAGUGGCGGUGGCUCAUGCCUGUACUUCCAGCACUUUGGGAGGCCAAGACUGUUGAUUGCUUGAGCUCAGGAGUUUGAGACCAGCCUGGGCAACAUGGUGAGACCCCAUCUCUAUAAAAAAUACAAAAAAAAAUUAGCCGGGCUUGGUGGCGCAUGCCUGUGGUCCCAGCUACUGGGGAGGCUGAGGCGGGAGGAUUGCUUGAGCC
rnacentral:lncRNA from 10 species